rnacentral:sRNA from 1 species
UAAUAAAAAAAAGGAAAACACUUUAGUAUUUUAUUUGGUUUGCACUUGAGAUAGUUUUGCUUCCACUCUCCCGUUACUCGGUCGAUUUUUUGGUUUGUUUUGCGUUACGCGUUCGCGAUCAUACGUUUUUCGCGCUCAGCUGUUGUGUGUUUACGUUACUCGCUCUUGGCUCUCGUUGCUCUCUUCCCGUUCCCUAACUCUUUCAAAAACUCAAGUUUCUCUUAGCAAAGAGAGCGCGAGUGCAGAGCACGCGACAUUCGUUGUCAUAUUUUAGCCUCGACGUUGUUGUUUUUGGUAUUUUUGGUUCACUUUUGACAUUUUUGCAUACGAAAAUUUUCCGCUUUCAGGUAGAUUUACCGUACCGCGGAUCUUCUAACUUUUAAGUAAAGUAAGCGUGUUUGUAUGUGUGCAUGAGUUUGUUUGCCUGUUUUUUGCCUUAGUUUUUUGUUUAAUGAAUUUUGCCUGCCUUAUCUCGUUUCUGUUUAUUUUAUGGUUAGAAAUUUUAAGCCGCACACUCGCACACAUACUCAGUAACACGUGCGUAAAUGUACGUAGGUAAGUGUUCUUGUGUAUUCCACAAUGAAACUACAUUUCUAUUUGGUUUUUUCCCAUACCAACGGCUAAAGGUAAGGUAAAACAGUCAAGGGCGCACACCUGCCCUUGGGAGCAAAGGAGAAAGAAGCUUACAGACGAAUGGCCAUUCAAACGGGAGCGACAAGAUAGGAAGAUGUCUGGGAAAACCCGAGAAUGCUACAUCCUAUUAUUACCUAAAUGUCCGCCGGAAAAUGGAUGCCCAUAAAUGAGGUUUAGCCAAGUAACUCAAACCCUUAUUUUGCCAAUGAUAAAAAAUAUCUUUGUCGCUACAUUUCAGCUGUAAUUCCGGCAAUGAGAAGACUAUCAAAUUCGGUAUGAAUUUUGGCUUUAUAUAAUUAGUGUAACUUGUUUGAUAGAUAAUACAAAUAAACGAAUUCGAUCCGUAACAAAAGUAAACGAUUUUGAUCGUUUGAAAACACGUUUUUCUACACAAAGAAUAUAAUAAAAACAUUUAUAAACUAGCCAUCAUACUCGUAAUUACAUUUCCUAGUCCACUGCUUUUCUUAAUUAUUUAAAAUAUUUUCUUCGCCUCAAGUUAACUACAAUGAUGUCCCUGGGUACCGCCUCGGCAACAAAAAAAAAACAAAAAAAUCGCCGCCAACUUUAAACAAAUUAGCUGAAAUAUAUUCAAACUGUGCAUAUAAAACAGCAGAGUCGCUGCGCAGCCAGCAUAAUACAAUUUCAAGUUUCGUUUUUGUUCAAAUAGCAUUGAGGGAAAAACGCCGAAAGGCCAAUGCACUGCGACGACACAAAGUGAGUUGCGGAGAGCAGUGCGGAGGGAUGGGAAGAGGUGGCACAGGGUCAGGGGGCAAGGGACAGGCAAAAGGAAAUGCGAGGACCUCGACAACAGCUGGCCGCAGGAAACAGGAGCCAUAAACCGCCAAGGGAAUAGGAAAACAAUGAACAAGUAGAAAGAGAACGAUCCCGACUAUAAUAUACUUAGCAAUCAGGAGAGCACCCAUGUUCAAUCCUUUUACUAAUCAAAGCAAGCCUUCACAAUUCAUAAUGCUAGGUUUAAAAUCCUUGGCUAAAUGCGAAAAAAAUCCUGACUAUACCUCACCCUAAUUGAUAAUUGUGGUUAAAUCUGCUCAGUUCCGUCAAAACAAUAUACCCUCGUUUGCUGCGAGGUGCAAUAAAUGGAAACUUUGUGAAAAGAUGGUGGAAAACGUGUGCAGUGGAAUGCUCAAGAGAAAAGACAAAACGCACACGCUCUCGAACGUGAACACGCUUCCCUAAACCCGCCGCACAAUCCAAACCAAUCCAUUCCAUUCCCCUAGGUGCAUGCACAUCAUACAUACACAUGUAAGAAUGUAUAAUCUCACGGUUGAAAAAUAGAUGACACAUUCGUUCGCAUACACAUAUGUAUGUACGUAAGUACAUUGUUUAGUGUGUAGGUAUAUGUAUACAUACUUCUGUUCGUGGAACGAUGCAGCUGUCAGCUGUGCACGAGCAGUUUUCUUUGUGCUACACUUCUUUACAGAAACGAGCGAGGUGGUGAUAACAAUGCUCAAUGAGGAAAUGGGGCAGCAAGAACAAGAACCUCAUCGGAGACGGGCCUCUCUGCCUCGUUUCCAUAUACAUACAUACCGCAGCAAUUCUGGGGGUGCACUUCAUAGGAAAUCUUUGCAGAUCGCCAGGGUUGCCACCUACAAUCGCACACAAGCGGGCACCAGAACAAUCGAUCGAUAUAAAACGACCGACCAGGGCUACGUCAUAAAAUGAAGAAAAGCGAGUAUUUGCUAUCAAAAGAAAUGAAAUAGCAGCUCGUUAUCAGAGAGUAGAUGAAAGUAUUUAAAAAACCAUAAAUAUAAAGAUUAUGGGAGAGUUAGCAUUUGCAGUAGGAGUAUUUUCUAGAAGUAAUCAUAAAUCACAUUUAAGACCUGCAUGUGCAGGAAUCGACCAGGCAUCCUAACGGAGCAUAGAUCGAUCCUACAUAAAUUCAUGUGUAAACGGAAUAUAAAGAUAUAAAGAGUGCAACGUCUUUAAAAUACAUUUUCUUGAAGCAUUCAAAUCUUGUAAUUCUCGCUUAGGAAUUGCGUUACUACGUCGUCAUAUAGAAAACUAAUAAGCAAAAA